AUUAUAAGGUCCUUGCCCACAGCACGCAACCUUGGAUGUCACAAAUCCUGCCAAAAAUUAUCACAAGUAUUCAAUUAAUAUGAUAGUAAAACUGUUCUCCAUCAAAUUGGAUUCUUUUCAUAAUUAUCAUAAACUUGAUCUAUUAUGGAUUCAAAAUAGAAAUAUGUGAAAUUUAUUUAUUUAAUAAGUAAGUUAUACUAUUUAUCUUAUAUCUUAUAUCUGUCUAUAACAAAUAAAUCUGUACAAAAUAAAUUAUAAUAAAUAUUGCACAAUACUAAAAGCCAGGCUAUCACAAUAAUAUUGCAUUUAUUUGAAAUGGUCCCAUAGAUAGGUAUCCUCCAUUCAAGGUCUCUUGUCUAUUUUCUCCUUCACAAAUUUAUAUUUGUCAAAGAAAAAUUUUCUUGGAGAUGAUUUAUUAUAA
rnacentral:misc_RNA from 1 species